AUUCCCAUAUCCCUAAGUUGCAUCACUAUUUGGUGGAAUUUUGAGAGGUUCAAAGAAGGGAAAGAUUGCUGAGUAAAUUUGUUGAAAAUGAAUGUGAGAAAAUAGAUCGCCUAAUGGAACUCUAUAUAAGAUAUUCAGAUAGGG